rnacentral:rRNA from 1 species
CUCAUCGCAUCCUGGGGCUGUAGUCGGUCCCAAGGGUUGGGCUGUUCGCCCAUUAAAGCGGUACGCGAGCUGGGUUCAGAACGUCGUGAGACAGUUCGGUCCCUAUCCGUCGUGGGCGUAGGAAAUUUGAGAGGAGCUGUCCUUAGUACGAGAGGACCGGGAUGGACGCACCGCUGGUGUACCAGUUGUUCUGCCAAGGGCAUAGCUGGGUAGCUAUGUGCGGAAGGGAUAAGUGCUGAAAGCAUCUAAGCAUGAAGCCCCCCUCAAGAUGAGAUUUCCCAUAGCGUAAGCUAGUAAGAUCCCUGAAAGAUGAUCAGGUUGAUAGGUUCGAGGUGGAAGCAUGGUGACAUGUGGAGCUGACGAAUACUAAUAGAUCGAGGACUUAACCAUAUAA